rnacentral:rRNA from 1 species
UUUUAUUUGAGAGUUUGAUCCUGGCUCAGGAUGAACGCUGGCGGCGUGCCUAACACAUGCAAGUUGAGCGAUUUACUUCGGUAAAGAGCGGCGGACGGGUGAGUAACGCGUGGGUAACCUACCCUGUACACACGGAUAACAUACCGAAAGGUAUGCUAAUACGGGAUAAUAUAUUUGAGAGGCAUCUCUUAAAUAUCAAAGGUGAGCCAGUACAGGAUGGACCCGCGUCUGAUUAGU